AGAGUUUGAUCCUGGCUCAGAACGAACGCUGGCGGCGUGGAUAAGACAUGCAAGUCGAGCGCUGAUUACAGGGUAGCAAUAUUCUGUAGUCGGAGCGGCGCAAGGGUGCGUAACACGUGGGUAAUCUGCCAUGAAGUUUGGGAUAACUUGCUGAAAGGCGAGCUAAUACCGGAUGUGACAAUUAGAGGGCAUCUUCCGAUUGUCAAAGCUGGGGACCGUAAGGCCUGGCGCUUCAUGAUGAGCCCGCGGCCUAUCAGCUAGUUGGUGAGGUAACGGCUCACCAAGGCUAAGACGGGUAGCUGGUCUGAGAGGACGACCAGCCACACUGGAACUGAGACACGGUCCAGACACCUACGGGUGGCAGCAGUCGAGAAUUUUUCACAAUGGGCGCAAGCCUGAUGGAGCGACGCCGCGUGGGGGAUGAAUGGCUUCGGCCCGUAAACCCCUGUCAUUUGCGAACAAAUUGGUUCAAUUAACACCUGAACCAUUGAUAGUAGCGAAAGAGGAAGGGACGGCUAACUCUGUGCCAGCAGCCGCGGUAAUACAGAGGUCCCAAGCGUUGUUCGGAUUCACUGGGCGUAAAGGGUGCGUAGGUGGUGAGGUAAGUCGGAUGUGAAAGCUCGGAGCUCAACUCCGAAAUGGCAUUGGAAACUACCUUGCUCGAGGGUUGGAGGGGGGACUGGAAUGCUUGGUGUAGCAGUGAAAUGCGUAGAUAUCAAGCGGAACACCAGCGGCGAAGGCGAGUCCCUGGACAACUCCUGACACUGAGGCACGAAAGUUAGGGGAGCAAACAGGAUUAGAUACCCCCGUAGUCC
rnacentral:rRNA from 1 species